UUCCCUUUCCCACGUUGAAACCGUCCCUCUCUCCACUCACUCCAUAAAUCUCUCCUAUAUCUAAACCAAAUCACCUCCUCUCUAUACGAUCAUCAAUCAAUUUUCCUAUUUUUCCCAUCUCUGCAACAAGAACUCAUUCCUUUGAAAUCCACGACAAGCCUUGAAGAGUUGCCGAAUUCUCAAUCCAGUCUCAACCGUGGUUCAAAGAAUCUCCCUUUUUACCCUUGUGAACUCCACAACCAAGUCCAAUUAACCGAGGUUGAGCGGCGACGAGAAUAUGGUGGUGUUGAGCAAGUAAAUUGGAGAAUGAAUUGUUCAUCCUUGGAUUAUGAGUGUCGUUGUGUCUUCACACAUGACGUCACUCUCUCUCUCUCUUGGUCGUUUCCGCUGUGACAUUUCCUUUACUUACCAUUUAUUGGGCCUGCAACUCAAAUUGUUAGGGCAUUGAAUACCUGGGAUUUUGAUGGAUAAUGUCAACUCUUGGUCACUUUCUUUGAAUAUAAAUUGUUGGUCGAACUCGUUAUCGAAACCCUAGUUCUAUUCGUCUGUUUAUUAAAUUCUUUUAAUCA